GGCAGCCGCCGCGGGAACACCGGCAGCUCUAGUGGUAGCUGUUUUAUUGGGCCUAAAGCGUUCGUAGCCGGUUUGAUAAGUCACUGGUGAAAUCCUGUAGCUUAACUGUGGGAAUUGCUGGUGAUACUGUUGAACUUGAGGUCGGGAGAGGUUAGCGGUACUCCCAGGGUAGAGGUGAAAUUCUGUAAUCCUGGGAGGACCACCUGUGGCGAAGGCGGCUAACUGGAACGAACCUGACGGUGAGGGACGAAAGCUAGGGGCGCGAACCGGAUUAGAUACCCGGGUAGUCCUAGCCGUAAACGAUGCGGACUUGGUGUUGGGAUGGCUUUGAGCCGCUCCGGUGCCGAAGGGAAGCUGUUAAGUCCGCCGCCUGGGAAGUACGGUCGCAAGACUGAACUUAAAGGAAUUGGCGGGGGAGCACCACAACGCGUGGAGCCUGCGGUUUAAUUGGAUUCAACGCCGGACAUCUCACCAGGAGCGACAGCUGUAUGAUUACCAGGCUGAUGACCCUGUUUGACUAGCUGAGAAGUGGUGCAUGG
rnacentral:rRNA from 1 species